GAUAGGAGGAAGUUGUUUCAGGAACUGACGAGAAGAAAUUUUCUUCAAGAAUAAUGAGAAUGUUCACGGUAGAAGAACGAUGUUAUCCAAUCGAGUUCUUAUACCUCCGCGAUUAAUCGCGUGCAUCGUCUGACCUUUGCAUGAGAAGUGAACGAACAACGAUGCAAUGCAUUAUGCACACGUACGAUGCAUUUUUCAUCCGGGAUUCAGUGUGAGGAGGCUCGAAAGCCGUGAAAAUAUGGAGACUUUGAGAAAAACGUGCUCGUUCACGCCUCGUUCGUUAAUGAUACUUUUAAUUAUGUGGACUGGCGUCUACCUUGAUGAUUUCAGUGACCUUAGUGUAUAUUGCGAAGGUCAAUGAUCUGAGUAAUUUAAUUACUGCUCAGUUUGGAAUUUUAAAAAUAGAUACAAAGAUAUUUUUAAUAUCAUGUAUUGCCAUUGAAAGGAAUUUAUUGCAAUCAACACUUCCUAUUAACGCGUCUCUGGCAUUCUUUUUUUUUAUAUUUAAUCAACAAUUUCGAGCAGAAUGUUACGUGCUCAACGAUAUUUUUCAACGUUCACGCUCUCAUUGUUUUCACGAAGGUUCCAAGCGAAUCGUUGCACAUUUUCUGCUAAACAUUCGCAAACAAUUCACGAGCAUACGUCAUUCAGAGUGCAUUUAUAAUGAAACUUUCAAAACCUGUUCAAAGUUGACCCAAAAACAUUAAUCUUAAAUUUAAUUUUCGGCUCUGUAAAUUAUUAUAAAAUCUGAGUAGAUAAUUUUAGUCACAGCCUUAGGGUAAAUUUUGUAAUUUCGAGUCAUAAUCGUUCCAGCAUCCACUUUCGCGAGGAUGCGUUUCGCUAAGAAGCUCCUAAUUGUGGAAACCUCGUCUGGUCGCGAAAAACAAUUCCGCGUUAACGAAAGCGUCGCGACGCAUUUACAAAAGAAUUAACGAACCCGUGACAAAAGUGCGCCGUUUAAACAAACACCUCGUUUCAAAUAAUUUCCAUGAUGCAAGCCAGCCGCGAUUUCACGUAGGGAAAAGAAACGAGGAAACGCGAUAGACGCUUGGCGAUACAAUUCUUGCCCGAUUAUUUGCGCAUCGUUUAUAUUUUUACAUUCUUAAGACAUUUAUCAACCUGUUACCGUAACAGUUGCGUUGUUUGAAUAACAUUCGAAGGCUGUUUACCCGCGAUUCCUGUAACCCCAAUCUAAACGCAAUCCAGUUACGCCUUUCGUCAUCGAUUGCUUAGCACGCUUUACGAAUGGUCUGCGCCUUUUUACCAAUAUUUACCGGCUAAGUAUCAGGCACAAUCAGUGGAACGAAUCGAUCGGAAAUGUCGUUGAAAUCGAAGAACGGUUUUACGUUGAGAAACCAUUCGCUGAGAGAAUGUCCGAUAGGAGAGUUCUGUUUCACCGUGACUUCGAAUAUCUCGUUACACCUUGUAAUGGACUGUGAUAAAGUCUUCUUAAAAAGAAGACUUAAAUGAUUGUAGUUAAACAUUUCAUUGUAAUCGGACGAAGAAGAAGAUAUUAUUAAUUCAGUGGAUUAUUAAUAGUUAAUCGUUAUCUAUUUUGCACUACAAAAUAGAGAUUUUGUUUUUAUUAAUGAAUGCAAGUGUAGAUGGAUGCAAUCUAACUGCGAUCAAUCAUUCGUGAUCGAUUAUUUCUGCCUUAUUUAUUUUCUUUCCUCAACAAAAUUCAAGCAAUAGUUGGAGGCUUAAAUUAUAGAAAUUAUGCUACUUUCGACAAAUUUAUUGCAACUGUUAGUACGUUCAUACCUUUUCCAUGUUCACGUCAAAUGGUCAACUAUGAGUCAUUUUGGAAUUUUAAAAAUUGAACAUUGUUUUACGUUAUACAUUUUUAUGACCUUCCUUGUACAAGAAGCUCGCAAAUCUAAUCCUGUCGCUAGAGCCUUUUACAGACGUAAAGAAAUAGAUAGAAAAUUACAGAGUUUAUAAAUCUCAUUAAACAGAGUUAUCAAAGAGUUAAUCUAUUGUCAACGGGAGAACAGACUUGUAAACAGAUAAAAUCCUCUCACUCGUAUCUCUGAAAUCCUUAUCAAAUACAGGGAGAUGUACCUAUCGGUGGGUCAUUGAGUCUUAAGUACCAUUAUUUUGCUCCCCUAUCAAUGUCAUCACGGAUUUUCUCAAGGAACCGAGUCUGAUUCGAAAUUUUCCUUUGAUGUACAAUUACAUUCAGUAUCAGACGUGUAUCUCCUCAUUCAUGAGUCGAUCAUUCAUCGGAUAACGUGCCGGGGAAGCUUCUAGGACGUGAGGUCCUCCAGUUCCGGCACCCAGCACCAGUACUCUUCCGGCGUCAGUGUGAUGAAUAUCUGCGAAAAGUACACCCACGCGACGAACGAGGCGAACGGUAUCAUCAAGAUAAACAGGAUCUUCUGAUAGAGUCCAAAUUCACCAACAUAAGGUUGCACGGGACAAGGUGGACUAAAACUCGGUGCUCCUCUCGCUUCUGGAUGACUAUAAACGCUUGAAAAUACUACCUGGUACUCCAUAUCCUACAGGUAUAACUGGAACUGGAGUUCUAUAAUUGUGAUGCAUACACCUGUUAUGGUAC